rnacentral:rRNA from 1 species
AUUGAACGCUGGCGGCAGGCCUAACACAUGCAAGUCGAACGGCAGCGGGGGGUAGCUUGCUACCCCGCCGGCGAGUGGCGGACGGGUGAGUAAUGCCUGGGGAGCUGCCCAAUCGAGGGGGAUACCAGUUGGAAACGACUGCUAAUACCGCAUACGCCCUGAGGGGGAAAGGUGGGGAUCUUCGGGCCUACCGCGAUUGGAUGCACCCAGGGGGGAUUAGCGAGUUGGUGAGGUAACGGCUCACCAAGUCGACGAUCUCUAGCUGGUCUGAGAGGAUGACCGGCCACACUGGAACUGAGACACGGUCCAGACUCCUACGGGAGGCAGCAGUGGGGAAUAUUGCACAAUGGGGGAAACCCUGAUGCAGCCAUGCCGCGUGUGUGAAGAAGGCCUUCGGGUUGUAAAGCACUUUCAGCGAGGAGGAAAGGUGGCUAGCUAAUACCUAGUUGCUGUGACGUUACUCGCAGAAGAAGCACCGGCUAACUCCGUGCCAGCCGCCGCCGUAA